UUAUGGCUGUUCAUUAUAAUUUUUAGCAAUUUAUUCCUUGUGUAAUCAAUUUUCCCCCUAUUCCCCGCCUCUUUUGGAUUCUAGUAGUAAUUAUUCACGUGAUGACAAUAUUUUAAAUUUCCAUGAAUCCCCAACAUACAAGAAAGAGAGAAACACUGAUUGUUGCUACUAUUUUUGGGCCAAUGAAUAUGGCUGCCCUGAUUUAUUGUUACUUACGGUGUCGGUGCUGCUAUUACCAUAAAUAGGAAUUGUAUGAUCUUCACCAUUUUCUCGAGUGCUUCUGCCAGGAUCGGACUCAAAGUUAGCGUGUUACAUGCACCAAUUCCCUAUGCACCCGACCAAUAAGUGAAGCUCACAUGCAUUGGAUCCCCACAGCAAAGUAUUAACCACCAAUUCCCUCGGCUCAGGGUGAAAAACCAUGGGUAGAAAGAUAAGUUAAUUUCAGUACUGGAAUAGAAUUUGAAAUUAAGGGGAAAAACUAGUAUACAAUUGAGCCAUUCAUGAACGUCAAUGACCAGAAGGAUGCGGUUAGCUACAUACAAAAGGACUCACAUGUACACAAAAUAAUGCAUCCUUUCUGACAAAAAUAAGACAGACAAGAAAAAGAAAAGGUGAAAAAAAAUAUAUCAAAAAUUAAAGAAUCAUCAAAUUAGAUUCUACUGCCAAGGAUGCAAAAACACACGUGAAAUUACUCUGAUGUUACUAUUGUUGAAUUUGAAUUUUGCAUCUCUUCUGGAAGGGGUUUCACAUACUUCCCCAAUGCCUU
rnacentral:lncRNA from 1 species